GACGAACGCUGGCGGCGUGCUUAACACAUGCAAGUCGAACGAUGAAGCCGGAGCUUGCUCUGGUGAAUUAGUGGCGAACGGGUGAGUAACACGUGAGUAACCUGCCCUUGACUCUGGGAUAACUGCGGGAAACUGUAGCUAAUACCGGAUACGACCCUCGGAGGCAUCUCCUGGGGUGGAAAGAAUUUCGGUCAAGGAUGGACUCGCGGCCUAUCAGCUAGUUGGUGAGGUAAAGGCUCACCAAGGCGACGACGGGCAGCCGGCCUGAGAGGGGAACCGGCCACACUGGGACUGCGACACGGCCCAGACUCCUACGGGAGGCAGCAGUGGGGAAUAUUGCACAAUGGGCGCAAGCCUGAUGCAGCAACGCCGCGUGAGGGAUGACGGCCUUCGGGUUGUAAACCUCUUUUAGCAGGGAAGAAGCGAAAGUGACGGUACCUGCAGAAAAAGCACCGGCUAACUACGUGCCAGCCGCCGCGGUAA
rnacentral:rRNA from 1 species